AUUGAACGCUGGCGGCAGGCCUAACACAUGCAAGUCGAGCGGAUGAGGAGAGCUUGCUCUCUGAUUUAGCGGCGGACGGGUGAGUAAUGCCUAGGAAUCUGCCUGGUAGUGGGGGAUAACGUUCCGAAAGGAACGCUAAUACCGCAUACGUCCUACGGGAGAAAGCAGGGGACCUUCGGGCCUUGCGCUAUCAGAUGAGCCUAGGUCGGAUUAGCUAGUUGGUGAGGUAAUGGCUCACCAAGGCGACGAUCCGUAACUGGUCUGAGAGGAUGAUCAGUCACACUGGAACUGAGACACGGUCCAGACUCCUACGGGAGGCAGCAGUGGGGAAUAUUGGACAAUGGGCGAAAGCCUGAUCCAGCCAUGCCGCGUGUGUGAAGAAGGUCUUCGGAUUGUAAAGCACUUUAAGUUGGGAGGAAGGGUUGUAGAUUAAUACUCUGCAAUUUUGACGUUACCAACAGAAUAAGCACCGGCUAACUUCGUGCCAGCCGCCGCGGUAACAC
rnacentral:rRNA from 1 species